rnacentral:rRNA from 1 species
UACGUAGGGGGCAAGCGUUAAUCGGAAUUACUGGGCGUAAAGCGUGCGUAGACGGUUAUUUAAGUCGGGUGUGAAAUCCCCGGGCUCAACCUGGGAAUUGCAUUCGAGACUGAAUAGCUAGGGUGCGGAAGAGGGAAGCGGAAUUUCCGGUGUAGCGGUGAAAUGCGUAGAUAUCGGAAGGAACACCAGUGGCGAAAGCGGCUUCCUGGUCCAGCACCGACGUUCAGGCACGAAAGCGUGGGGAG